GGCGCGCCUAACACAUGCAAGUCGAACGGCACCCCUCUCCGGAGGGAAGCGAGUGGCGAACGGCUGAUUAUUUCGUGGAGAACCUGCCCCCUCCCCCGGGAUAGCCGCCCGAAAGGACGGGUAAUACCGGAUACCCCGGGGUGCCGCAUGGCUCCCCGGCUAAAGCCCCGACGGGAGGGGAUGGCUCCGCGGCCCAUCAGGUAGACGGCGGGGUGACGGCCCACCGUGCCGACAACGGGUAGCCGGGUUGAGAGACCGACCGGCCAGAUUGGGACUGAGACACGGCCCAGACUCCUACGGGAGGCAGCAGUGGGGAAUCUUGCGCAAUGGGGGGAACCCUGACGCAGCGACGCCGCGUGCGGGACGGAGGCCUUCGGGUCGUAAACCGCUUUCAGCAGGGAAGAGUCAAGACUGUACCUGCAGAAGAAGCCCCGGCUAACUACGUGCCAGCAGCCGCGGUAAUACGUAGGGGGCGAGCGUUAUCCGGAUUCAUUGGGCGUAAAGCGCGCGUAGGCGGCCCGGCAGGCCGGGGGUCGAAGCGGGGGGCUCAACCCCCCGAAGCCCCCGGAACCUCCGCGGCUUGGGUCCGGUAGGGGAGGGUGGAACACCCGGUGUAGCGGUGGAAUGCGCAGAUAUCGGGUGGAACACCGGUGGCGAAGGCGGCCCUCUGGGCCGAGACCGACGCUGGGGCGCGAAAGCUGGGGGAGCGAACAGGAUUAGAUACCCUGGUAGUCCCAGCCGUAAACGAUGGACGGUAGGUUUGGGGGGACGAUCCCCCCGUGCCGCAGCCAACACAUUAAGCGUCCCGCCGGGGGGAGUACGGCCGCAAGGCUAAAAUUCAAAGGAAGUGACGGGGGCCCGCACAAGCAGCGGAGCAUGUGGCUUAAUUCGAAGCAACGCGAAGAACCUUACCAGGGCUUGACAUAUGGGUGAAGCGGGGGAGACCCCGUGGCCGAGAGGAGCCCAUACAGGUGGUGCAUGGCUGUCGUCAGCUCGUGUCGUGAGAUGUUGGGUUAAGUCCCGCAACGAGCGCAACCCCCGCCGCGUGUUGCCAUCGGGUGAUGCCGGGAACCCACGCGGGACCGCCGCCGUCAAGGCGGAGGAGGGCGGGGACGACGUCAAGUCAUCAUGCCCCUUAUGCCCUGGGCUGCACACGUGCUACAAUGGCCGGUACAGAGGGAUGCCACCCCGCGAGGGGGAGCGGAUCCCGGAAAGCCGGCCCCAGUUCGGAUUGGGGGCUGCAACCCGCCCCCAUGAAGUCGGAGUUGCUAGUAAUCGCGGAUCAGCAUGCCGCGGUGAAUGCGUUCCCGGGCCUUGCACA
rnacentral:rRNA from 1 species